ACCAACUUCAUUAAUCAUUGAUCUAAAGCUACCUCAGCUAUUGGUCUGUUUACUAGGACAACUUCCAUUGUUAUCUUUUGAUCAAUCAAAUUUUUGAAGAUGGCCCAUGGAAAUGUUGCUGCUAAUUCUUCUUUUGAGAGUAGUAGCUUGGCUUCACUGGAUCAAAAGUUGACCAUGGGCAAGCGCUGUUCUAACUGUAGUAGGGUGUGGUGGCAGAGCUAAGGCAGCUGUUUGUUGCCACUCUCGCCAUUGUCAUUCCAAGUCUGGCUAGUGUAAGUAUGCUGCUACCUUGGACAAGAGCCAAUCUCAAUCACACUGCUCAAGCUCUUAUAAUUUCAACAGGUAAAUGACUCAUCCUUAGUGCUGCCAACGAUUUCCUCAUGAUGU